CAGCCGCCGCGGUAAUACGGAGGGUGCAAGCGUUAAUCGGAAUUACUGGGCGUAAAGCGCACGCAGGCGGUUUGUUAAGUCAGAUGUGAAAUCCCCGAGCUUAACUUGGGAACUGCGUUUGAAACUGGCAAGCUAGAGUCUUGUAGAGGGGGGUAGAAUUCCAGGUGUAGCGGUGAAAUGCGUAGAGAUCUGGAGGAAUACCGGUGGCGAAGGCGGCCCCCUGGACAAAGACUGACGCUCAGGUGCGAAAGCGUGGGGAGCAAACAGGAUUAGAUACCCCUGUAGUCCCUGUCUCUUAUAC
rnacentral:rRNA from 1 species